UCUUCAUGAACAUAUACGGGAUUGAAUAGAAGUCUUUGUGUUUUUCCACACAGGAUGCAGAUAGAUCACUGAAGCCACAACUUAAACGCUUUUCCAUGUCUCCAAGAGAAAACAGGAACGUUGAGGAUCUCACACAUAGAAUUGCGCAAGGAAAGUUCUCAAGCCAAGAGAGUAGAAUAGAUAAUAAGACAACCAAGGAGCUUGUCGAAAAAAGUCCACGGAGUACGUCAAAUCACCACAUCAUAAACAUGGCAAAUCUGGAAAUUCCGGUCACGGAGAAUUCUGAUAACAUUGAGAAAGCUGAAGCAUAUACAAAAGAACUC